UACAGAGGUUGCAAGCGUUAAUCGGAUUUACUGGGCGUAAAGCGUGUGUAGGUGGUUGUACAAGUCGGUUGUGAAAUCCCUGGGCUCAACCUGGGAACUGCCAUUGAUACUAUUAGUCUUGAAUACCGUGGAGGUCAGCGGAAUAUGUCAUGUAGCGGUGAAAUGCUUAGAUAUGACAUAGAACACCAAUUGCGAAGGCAGCUGGCUACACGAAUAUUGACACUGAUGCACGAAAGCGUGGGGAUCAAACAGG
rnacentral:rRNA from 1 species